rnacentral:rRNA from 1 species
GCAGUCGAGCGAACGGAUAAGGAGCUUGCUCCUUUGAAGUUAGCGGCGGACGGGUGAGUAACACGUGGGUAACCUACCUAUAAGACUGGAAUAACUUCGGGAAACCGGAGCUAAUGCCGGAUAACAUUUGGAACCGCAUGGUUCUAAAGUAAAAGAUGGUUUUGCUAUCACUUAUAGAUGGACCCGCGCCGUAUUAGCUAGUUGGUAAGGUAACGGCUUACCAAGGCAACGAUACGUAGCCGACCUGAGAGGGUGAUCGGCCACACUGGAACUGAGACACGGUCCAGACUCCUACGGGAGGCAGCAGUAGGGAAUCUUCCGCAAUGGACGAAAGUCUGACGGAGCAACGCCGCGUGAGUGAUGAAGGUUUUCGGAUCGUAAAACUCUGUUAUUAGGGAAGAACAAAUGUGUAAGUAACUGUGCACAUCUUGACGGUACCUAAUCAGAAAGCCACGGCUAACUACGUGCCAGCAGCCGCGGUAAUACGUAGGUGGCAAGCGUUAUCCGGAAUUAUUGGGCGUAAAGCGCGCGUAGGCGGUUUCUUAAGUCUGAUGUGAAAGCCCACGGCUCAACCGUGGAGGGUCAUUGGAAACUGGGAAACUUGAGUACAGAAGAGGAAAGUGGAAUUCCAUGUGUAGCGGUGAAAAUGCGCAGAGAUAUGGGAGGAACACCAGUGGCGAAGGCGACUUUCUGGUCUGUAACUGACGCUGAUGUGCGAAAGCGUGGG